UCCAUCUGCCUCUUUCUCUUUCUCCCUUUCAUCUUAUCUCUCCUCCUAGUUCUCCUUCAAGGGUUAGGGUUAAGGUCACGUAAGGAUCUCUCUCUCUACCCUUCCCUUCUCCCGUUCUUUCAACUCUAAUAUACCUUGAUUUGAUAGGAUAUGUAUUAGUACCAUACCAAAUCAAUCAUUUGCCACAGUACAAGCCCCAAUAUUG
rnacentral:lncRNA from 1 species